ensembl:lncRNA
AAGAUGGGAUGCUCCCAUUUUCUUCCUUUGGAAACUGUAAUGGGUAAACAGGUAUCAGAUUGUAGUAACAAGAGGAGCAUAUUAAGGAUCAAAGCAAAGCCUGAGGAUGAUAGGUGCAUAAAAAUACGUUUGUUAUCCAUUGCAGGACUUUUACAGGACAGAUGGCUUCUCAAAUUCUGCAUCCAGGCAGAUAAGGAAAAGAUUUCAGCACAGAAGAGGAUUAACUGCAGCACAGGAACAGAAAUGAACAGUCAGUGUUUAAAGGAAAUACAAGAACUUCUAUGCCUUACUGUCAGAGAAAAAUGUCAGUGGUAUCAAGAGUUUCCUCAAAUUUUUCCUGUGCUUGGAAACCUCUGGGGUUGGAGUGCGAGCCUUUGA